rnacentral:misc_RNA from 1 species
GAUUGCUCUCAACCUUGGUUUCUUUAAAUUUUAUUAAAAAAAGUAAAUAAAUAAAACCAAUGUCUGCUCACCUAAGCUAAUUAAUUAUUACAUUGAAGAUCAACUAAUGUACUUAAUAUUUCAUAAUUAUCUGUAAUUAAUUAUUAUCAAUGGCACAUUUAUUUCCAAUAUAUAUUAAAAAAAUGAAAUAAAAUUGAUAAAUU